AGUAACGCGUGGAUAACCUGCCUCACACUGGGGGAUAACAGUUAGAAAUGACUGCUAAUACCGCAUAAGCACACAGUACCGCAUGGUACAGUGUGAAAAACUCCGGUGGUAUGAGAUGGACCUGCGUCUGAUUAGCUAGUUGGCGGGGUAACGGCCCACCAAGGCGACGAUCAGUAGCCGACCUGAGAGGGUGACCGGCCACAUUGGGACUGAGACACGGCCCAA
rnacentral:rRNA from 1 species